UAGAGAUGCUGGCUGGCCUGCUGCGUUCACCAGCAACUUUGAUGUGUGUUGCUUGAAUUUCCAGCAUCUGCAGAUUUCCUCGUGUUUGUGUUUUUAAAUGAUCCACCUUCCAUUGUGAUUCUCAGUCGAGCUGGAAGACGAAGAGAAGGCUUAAAAUUUUGGCCGUAUAGCUCCGCCAUAACUUUUUUCAACUUAACACGUCCUUCCAUAACUUCUGAUGAAAAAUCUUCAGCAAUACGAAUCUUCUGACCUUGGUAGUCAAUCAUACCUUUUCCACGGGCAUCAUGAAUCAGACGGUCCUUUAUUUGAAGUUCAUGGGAACAUAUAAUGACUGAUCUUGGAUUUGAUUUUGAAGUCGACCCGUAGAUAGGUGAUCUGUGAGCACGAUCAAUCAAAGGCAGAGACUUUAUAAUAUCAGGAAAUAAUUCCAAUAAAAGCGCUGAUGUGUUGUGAAUCAGCCAACGCUCCUUUUCUGAACUGUUGAAACUCCUCGGUGUCUGGAGAGGCUGCAGGAACAUCAUCAUAAAGACAAGAGAUUCUGCAGAUGCUGGAAGUCCAGAGCAACAUGCACAAAAUGCUAGAGGAACUCAGCAGGUCAGGCAGCAUCUAUGGAAAUGAAUGAACAGUUGAUAUUUCAGGCCAAGAUCCUUCUUCCAGACUGGAGAAGAAGGGGAAGAUGCCAGAAUUAAAAGGUGGGAGGGAGGGGAAGGAGGAUAGCUAGUAGGUGAUAGGUGAAGCCAGGUGGGUGGGAAAGGAAUCUGACAGCAGAGGAGAGUGGACCAUAGGAGGAAGGGAUCCAAGGAAAGGUUAUGGCAAGUGAGAACAGGUAACAGGCUAGAGUGGGGAAUAGAAGAAGUGGGGAGGGGGAGGGAUUUUUUUUGCCAGAAGGAGAAAUCGAUAUUCAUGCCAUUCGGUUGGAGGCUACCCAGACGGAAUAUAAGGUGCUGUUCUUCCACCCUGAGAGUGACCUCAUUGAGGCACAACAGGAGGUCAUGGACUGACAUGUUAGAAUGGGAAUGGGAAUGGGAAUUAAAAUGUUUGACCACUGGGAAGUUCCACUUUUGGCAGAUGGAGUGGAUGUGCUUGACGAAGCAAUUGGUUCCCCAAUCUGCGAUGAGUGUCACUAGGAACAUCAUCAAGUGAGUUUUCCUGGGCAGAAGCCAGUCAUUCGAAAGGGCAGCAUUAAACCCACAGUGUGCUUCAAAACAAAAUAGUAACUCUGAUCCAAAACCUUGAAGUAUACAGAAUUGGUCCUCAGGUCAAAGGUUGAGGGCCCAGGCCAUUGUCACUGGAACAAAGGAACCAGAUUCAUCCAGCUCCUAACAGAGGAUCCCAACCUCAUUACCAUUGUUAUGUUUUGUAACUCUAAAAUAUAAAACUAAUUGAAAGGAAAACAAGGGAACUAGGAGGUAACUUGUAUGCACAAAGUUUUACUUUAAGCAAGGUGCAUGUCUAUGAUGUGGUGAUGUAAUGACGUGUGCUAUUUACCCACUAUGCAUUCUGUAAAUGACAAAGAAUGCUUAAUCAAACAAUAUA